UACAAAACAACUAAACAUCAACCUAUAGUAUAUACAGGCUAUUACACCAAUGCCGUCUUAACCUAGAAGUGUAUCUAUAACAGCUUUUCAGAGGGCUGACUAGGGCUUCAAUUAUGUGGUUCUCUGACUUGUCCAGGCGACACAUGAAACUAAACAUCAGUUGUCUUAAGAGUG